CCUACGGGCGGCUGCAGUGGGGAAUAUUGCACAAUGGGCGCAAGCCUGAUGCAGCCAUGCCGCGUGUGUGAAGAAGGCCUUCGGGUUGUAAAGCACUUUCAGCGGGGAGGAAGGCGGUGAGGUUAAUAACCUCAUCGAUUGACGUUACCCGCAGAAGAAGCACCGGCUAACUCCGUGCCAGCAGCCGCGGUAAUACGGAGGGUGCAAGCGAUAAUCGGAAUUACUGGGCGUAAAGCGCACGCAGGCGGUCUGUCAAGUCGGAUGUGAAAUCCCCGGGCUCAACCUGGGAACUGCAUUCGAAACUGGCAGGCUAGAGUCUUGUAGAGGGGGGUAGAAUUCCAGGUGUAGCGGUGAAAUGCGUAGAGAUCUGGAGGAAUACCGGUGGCGAAGGCGGCCCCCUGGACAAAGACUGACGCUCAGGUGCGAAAGCGUGGGGAGCAAACAGGAUUAGAUACCCGAGUAGUC
rnacentral:rRNA from 1 species